rnacentral:lncRNA from 1 species
GAAAUUUAUUUUCUAGAAGUUUCAAAUACUCUAGAUCAUAUUUAACGAAGUGAAUCGUCGAUUUGGAAACUCCAUCAUCGAAAACAACUUAGGAGUACGAGGCUCCAAUACUCAUAAUCUCAUAAUAGUAUAGUAGCCACAAGAAUUAUAUACAUUAUAUAUAUAUAUAUAUAUAUAUACUACUUAUAAAAGCGUGAGUUUUGAAUUUUUUCCUUUCCAAAAAUGCAUCUAUUAUUUUUACCAAUAUUGUCAUGUCCAGUAAUUUUCAACUAUCGAUUUUAAAUAAAUCUUUAAAUAAUAAUUUAUUCUCAAAUAUAGAUUUUAAGUUUUCACCAUUAGAUCUCAUCCAAUGAAUAAAAAUAAAAAUAUCUGUCAUUUUUGUUGACAAAAAUACUCUCCAUAUUCGUUAUCUCCUAUGUAUGCAGCGUUUCUUAAAUAUUCUUUUUCUACCCACCAAUCAUUUAAUACGUAAAACUAAAUUUAUCUCUUAUCUAACGUAAUACUCGUCAAUCACGUAACAGCUAAUCACGUAAUACGUAAAAUUAAAUUUAUUUCCUAUUCACGUAUUUUUUUCAAAUAUUUUUUUCUUAUCAAACAUAAUACCUAUCAACACAUAGUAUUCAAAAUUAAAUUUUAAAUUUGUAAUGCCCGCCAAAAUUUAAUACUCGCCAAUUUGAUAAUUUGUAUUUUAAUUUAUGAUAGUAGAUUUUUUCUUACAUAAGAUAGUAGAUUUAAUUUUGACGAGUAUUAAAAUUUGAUGUGCCAUAGAAAAGUUAAAUAUUGUUAAAAAAAUUUUAAUACCCCUAAAUCAAAACUAAAUCAUUAAUAAAAUAUAAUUUUAAAUAUUUUUAGCAAAAUAUUUAAUAUUUAAAUAUUGCAUCAUAAAAGAGUAGAAUAUUUCUAAAAAAAAUAAUACACGCCCAAUAAAAACUAAAUCGUUAAUUAAAUAUAAUUUUAAAUUUUUUAGCAAAAUAUUUAAUAUUUAAAUAGUACACACUAAAAUAUUCUCGGUGUUCUCAAAUAUAAAAUAUAUUUUAUCCAUUUUAAAUAAAUCAUUCUCAAAUAUAGAUCUUAAGUUUUCGGCAUUGGAUUUCAUUCAAUGAAUAAAAAUAAAAGUAUAUGUCAUUCAUAUCCGUUAUCUCCUAUCUACGCGUUUUUCAAAUAAAACUAAAUUUAUAUCUUAUUUAACGUAAUACCCGCCAAUCACGUAAUACCUCCGCUAAUUACGUAACAAAUUAAAUUUAUUUCCUAUCCAAGUAUUUUUUCAAAUAAUUUUUUUUUUCAAACGUAAUACCUACCAGUAUUCAAAAUUAAAUUUUAAAUUUGUAAUUCCCGCCAAAAUUUAAUACCCGCGAAUUUGAUAAUUUAAAUUUUAAUUCAUGAUAUUAGAUUUUUCCUUAUAUAAGAUAGUAAAUUUAAUUUUGACGAGUAUUAAAAUUUGGCGUG